CACGUAGGGCGCAAGCGUUGUCCGGAAUUAUUGGGCGUAAAGAGCUCGUAGGCGGUCUGUUGCGUCCGCUGUGAAAACUCGGGGCUUAACCCCGAGCCUGCAGUGGAUACGGGCAGACUAGAGGUAGGUAGGGGAGAAUGGAAUUCCCGGUGUAGCGGCGAAAUGCGCAGAUAUCGGGAGGAACACCGGUGGCGAAGGCGGUUCUCUGGGCCUUACCUGACGCUGAGGAGCGAAAGCGUGGGGAGCGAACAGG
rnacentral:rRNA from 1 species